CUUCAUUCAUUCAGAACACAUUCAUCAAAUGACUACCCCAUGCCAAGUCUUCCCGUGCAACUCUCCCUCCCGGCAAAGCCCAAAUGACCUGUCAGUCACUCUAUCAAUUGAACAGAAGAAUGAAACUGGUCAUACAAGUCAUCUGGCAUCAGACAGACUCUGCCAUUGACAGAUGUGAACAAUCCGUUGCCAUGUGGACUCCUUAUACAGUUUCACCAUUUGCCAAAGCAAUGAUUCCACUGCUUCUAUGUGGGACACAAGGGACACAAGUAAGAACUAAAACAAAGAACCACCUCUACUCCUGGGUCACAGGUCCAGAGAGGAGGGCCCAGAAAAGGAUACCCAAGUCCUGGCAACAGAUUUGGUGACCAUCCUUCAGCCUUCCCAGUUGCGCUUGCCAUUUUCAAUAUCACUUAGAGCUGUGGUUCCAAUUCUGUCCCCUUGUGUCUCCAGCAUCUCUCCCUCCCAGGGAGGCAGCUUCGCUUUUGGUCUUCAGUGGGGUGGAGAGGUGAGUGUGUUGUUUCAGGUUGCCUGUGUUCCAUCCUGGGCAGCGUGGAGUCAAGGCAGAGGGUAUGGAGAGUGGGACAUAACAACUUCAUUUUCUCUAGCUCUUGAGCCCACGUCAAACCCUUCUUACAAUAACAGACCCCAAUCUUCAGCUGGUGCCUGGGACAGAUGGAGGUCUUGGCAGAAGCUGAGAUUACUUUCCAAUUUCACUGAGAUUAUAAAAACAACAUUUUUGAACUUUAAAUCCUGGCACUCAUGACCCUGAGUAUUUUCUUUUUCUUUUGUCACUACGUUCUUUGAAGACCAAGUCACCUGUUCCUUCAUCUAGAGACAAUGUUUCAGGCGAUAAGAAAAGACAAACUAUCAGAAACCCCAGAGGCGCCAAUUAUCUACUCUUUUGAUGCUAACAACUUGCAUUUCAACCCAUUCAUUUAUAUAAAA